rnacentral:rRNA from 1 species
GUCUACAGCCAUACCACCCUGAACCCAUCCGAUCUCAUCUUGGAAGCUAAGCAGGGUCGGGCCUGGUUAGUACUUGGAUGGCAGAAA